rnacentral:rRNA from 1 species
UGGGAACGUACCCUUUGGUUCGGAACAACCCAGGGAAACUUGGGCUAAUACCGGAUACGUCCGUAAGGAGAAAGAUUUAUCGCCAAAGGAUCGGCCCGCGCCUGAUUAGCUUGUUGGUGAGGUAACGGCUCACCAAGGCUACGAUCAGUAGCUGGUCUGAGAGGAUGAUCAGCCACACUGGACUGAGACACGGCCAGACUCCUACGGGAGGUNA